CCAUUUUGAAAGAAAUGGAAAUAGAAUAAAAAUAUGAUAACAUAUAGAACAGGCUAAUUUGCGCAAGAGUGUACAAAAUGAGUGCGCGGUUUGGCACCUCGAUGUCGGCUUAACUUAUCCUCAUGGACGCAGGAACUAUGUAGGGUGCGACUGUUCGUCGAUUAAAAAGUUACAUGAGCUGGGUUAAAUACGUCGUGAGACAGUAUGGUUUCUAUCUUCUAGGGGGAAUUAGAAUAAAAUAAGAACUAACUUUUGUACGCAAGGAACAAGAAGAGUUUAACAUUGUUAAACUAUGGUUACUAACCUAUGGUUUACCUGUUGUUUAUGUGCCCAAAUAUUAAAUUUAUAUACUUUUAUAUAUAUUUCUGUAUUAUUUCGGUAAUACAUAGGGAUGUAUCUUUUACUAAGAUAAUGUAUAGCAUAAGCACGGCAGGAAAGCUAAGUUGGUUAAGGAUAAGUGCUGAAAGCAUAUAGGCACGAAGCUUAUCUUAAGAUAUUUCUUAAAUAUACGUAGCAUAAUACUACAAAUUUAUAGGCUUUAUCCGUAAGAAUCUAGAGAUUUUUAAGAUUAAAGUACUAAUUUAAU
rfam:Metarhizium album ARSEF 1941 scaffold_106, whole genome shotgun sequence.